rnacentral:rRNA from 1 species
UACGUAGGGACCGAGCGUUGUCCGGAAUCACUGGGCGUAAAGCGCACGUAGGCGGAUCCUUAAGUCGGGGGUGAAAUCCUGGAGCUCAACUCCAGAACUGCCUUCGAUACUGAGGAUCUCGAGUCCGGGAGAGGUGAGUGGAACUGCGAGUGUAGAGGUGAAAUUCGUAGAUAUUCGCAAGAACACCAGUGGCGAAGGCGGCUCACUGGCCCGGUACUGACGCUGAGGUGCGAAAGCGUGGGGAGCAAACAGG